GACGUAGGGCGCAAGCGUUAUCCGGAAUUAUUGGGCGUAAAGAGCUCGUAGGCGGUUUGUCGCGUCUGCCGUGAAAGUCCGGGGCUCAACUCCGGAUCUGCGGUGGGUACGGGCAGACUAGAGUGCGGUAGGGGAGAUUGGAAUUCCUGGUGUAGCGGUGGAAUGCGCAGAUAUCAGGAGGAACACCGAUGGCGAAGGCAGAUCUCUGGGCCGUAACUGACGCUGAGGAGCGAAAGCGUGGGGAGCGAACAGG
rnacentral:rRNA from 1 species